rnacentral:rRNA from 1 species
GAUGAACGCUGGCGGCGUGCCUAAUACAUGCAAGUCGAGCGAACAGACGAGGAGCUUGCUCCUCUGACGUUAGCGGCGGACGGGUGAGUAACACGUGGAUAACCUACCUAUAAGACUGGGAUAACUUCGGGAAACCGGAGCUAAUACCGGAUAAUAUAUUGAACCGCAUGGUUCAUUAGUGAAAGACGGUUUUGCUGUCACUUAUAGAUGGAUCCGCGCCGCAUUAGCUAGUUGGUAAGGUAACGGCUUACCAAGGCAACGAUGCGUAGCCGACCUGAGAGGGUGAUCGGCCACACUGGAACUGAGCCACGGUCCAGACUCCUACGGGAGGCAGCAGUAGGGAAUCUUCCGCAAUGGGCGAAAGCUUGACGGAGCAACGCCGCGUGAGUGAUGAAGGUCUUCGGAUCGUAAAACUCUGUUAUUAGGGAAGAACAAAUGUGUAAGUAACUAUGCACGUCUUGACGGUACCUAAUCAGAAAGCCACGGCUAACUACGUG